CGAGGAUCAUCACUCGGGAGGCGAGCGAUGAAUAACAGUACGGCCAGGUUACAGUUUUUCUCAAAAAUUCACCCAAUCCCAUGGUUCUAACCCCAAAACCGAUUCUAAACAUCAUUACAUGAAACAUCUAACGUCUGUUCAUCAUUUCUACCUCAAUUCACCCUAAUUCCAACAUUUAAUCAUCAAUUCUCAAUCAUAACCCUAAUUCCCAAUUCUCCAAAUUUGUUCAUAAUCUUUAUUAAAACAGAAUCAGAAUUAUAUAACUAAAAUCAUUGCAAGUUAGCC
rnacentral:lncRNA from 1 species